rnacentral:tRNA from 1 species
CAGGGAGACAACAAAAUGUUUAAUAUUAUUAUUUUGUCACCUUAGGUCGAUCGGUAUCUCACGUUCUUAAUUCGUUAAGAAUUUCAUUUCCUAAGUUUUUCUAGGUCACACCCAUUAUUUUUCCUGGGCCAUUAGCUCAGGUGGUUAGAGCGCACCCCUGAUAAGGGUGAGGUCCCUGGUUCAAGUCCAGGAUGGCCCAUAUCUCUAUGUUGGGGGUAUAGCUCAGUUGGUAGAGCGCCUGCUUUGCAAGCAGGAUGUCAGCGGUUCGAGUCCGCUUACCUCCACUGAUUACCACCUCUUCCAUAACCGGUAGAAAGGAAAUGUUUUGAGUUGUGAUCAUUAUUCUGAACGAAUCUAGCUUCCUAAUGAAAUCAUUAAGAUGCUGGACUCAUUGAAUUAAUUUCAUUGUUUUCAGAGAACCUUGACAACUGCAUAGAUUAUUUUUAAAGACAAUAAGCAUCUUUAAUGAUGCAGAUUUAUUAUUUGUGCGAAUGCAUUAAUAACAAUUCUAUUAAGCUGAUGCUUCAAUUUUUGAAGUUAUU